rnacentral:rRNA from 1 species
AAUCUUGCGCAAUGGGCGAAAGCCUGACGCAGCAACGCCGCGUGAACGAUGAAGGCCUUCGGGUCGUAAAGUUCUGUCAGGGGGGAAGAAUAAAUGACGGUACCCCCGGAGGAAGCCCCGGCUAACUCCGUGCCAGCAGCCGCGGUAAUACGGAGGGGGCAAGCGUUGUUCGGAUUUACUGGGCGUAAAGGGCGCGUAGGCGGAUGUUCGCGUCAGAGGUGAAAGCCCCGGGCUCAACCUGGGAACUGCCUUUGAAACGGGACAUCUUGAGUUCGGAAGAGGGUAGCGGAAUUCCCAGUGUAGAGGUGAAAUUCGUAGAUAUUGGGAAGAACACCAGUAGCGAAGGCGGCUACCUGGUCCGACACUGACGCUGAGGCGCGAAAGCGUGGGGAGCAAAC